GCAGCGAUCGAGAAGGACGGCCAGGGGAGACGAACCCUCGCCUGGAUCCCUUCGGAAAGCCGCUCCGCUCCUGUAUAAUAUUCGCCCACCAACGCCACAACUUGGAUGGGGGCGAUGACUAAUUGCCCCAGAUGCACUGCAUCGGCGCGUCCAGCCUCUUUCUCACUUCUCUCUCAUCCAUCUGUCUCCAUCGCUGGGUCUAUCAGCAAAUCGCAGGAUCGGUUCCCUCGUAGUAGUAUCAGGCUAAAAUUGGGACGGAAAGACGCUGCUGCCAUCGAUCUCCCCAGGUGUUUGCAUGUAAUUGUAUGCGUGCGCAUGUACGUACGUACCUCUCUUGAAUUAUUGGACUACAACUCGGAGUGUGUUCCUAUGUUUGGUAACUAGAUCUGAAUAACUGAUCAGAUUCGGCGAGCAGUCAUAGUUAUGAGAUUGAAAGCUUCAACUCUAAGACUCUAGCACUACAGUGACUGCAUGCGUACUUUCAACUUCAAGAAGACACGCAAAGGGCAAGGUAUCAGUUGAACGCACCUCAUGUCCUUGAGCCCAGGAAAUGAGCCCCCGGAGGACAUCCAAGAACUGAUCUCCAGUACUAGUCCCAACUGCAGUCCAUCUGCCGCACCCCGCGACAUGAAGAGCGGCAGAGGCUGGGGCGACGGCGGGGCGUCGUCGCGCACUUCGACAUCCGAACAGGGAGUGGUCCACGGGGAGGAGGAGGCUAGCCGUAGCACUGGCUUCUGGACCAGGUACUUUUCGGUGUCGUUGCUGCUGCUCCUGGGCGUCACCGCGUCGCUGGUGAUCCUCCCGCUCGUCCUGCCGCCGCUCCCGCCGCCGCCAUCGAUGCUGUUGCUGGUGCCGGUGGCAAUGCUGCUGGUGCUGCUGGUGCUGGCGUUCAUGCCGACGUCGUCGGGCGGCCGCAGUGGGGCGGACCUGACAUAGAUAACCACAUCGUUUUCCAGCCCUUGUUCUGUUUUUUCCAUUUGUUCUUGCACGGAUCAGUUUAAGAUCCUUCUGCCCUUCUCAAUGUUAUGCAUGCUGGUCGUUUUUAGGUUAUUUUUAGUAUUUUUUAAACAAAACUGCCAAUUAAUUUGUGUUUUGUUACUGGUAUGUUUACACAAGAUCAGAGAAUGAUAAUUCUUCCUCUUUUCACUA